GUCUCAAAUUGCCCACUUCUGUACUAAAUACUAACUAUCUGAGUACAUAGUGCGUUCACAUUGUCGAAGUGCGGUCAAAUGCAGUGCACUUAAAAUACCCGGAUGGUGUACUCAAACCGGUCACAAAGUUAAGUGUGGAUCGAUGGACACUUUCCACACUCAACGGUCGCCAUCUUGGCUACGUAGCGGAAGGGGCGGAGCUAACAAGCGUUGAAAAACUUUUGAUAAUGGCUGCUGAAGACGCGAUGGCGAGACUGACGGAGCAAUACAAAGUUGAACGGACAAACGAUGAAUAGAGAGCCAUCAUUUAGGGGCGACGAUGGCCAUCAGACCGUAGAAGGAUCCCCUGGAGAGUCUGAAGUCCCCCCUCAUGUCCCAAUCCCCAUCAGACUAGCUCCGGCCUGGGGGAAGCCUGCAGAACUAAAAGCACAUUUUUAAAAUAAAAUUAUAUUAAAAGUAUUUAACUUUGUUAUCUUUUGUAUUACACGUUGCAUGACUGUAGCAAACAUAUAAUGAAUAUAAAGGAAAGGGUAUAUUUAAAUGUCAGGUCUGUUCCCUCUGGUUUCACUAUUGUAUUGUCACUGUAUGAAGACCAUUUAGAACAAAAAUACAACUUAUAUAAAAGAUGUAAUGAUGGUUUGUCUAAUAGGUAAGUUGUAAGGGGUAAUGCUUCAUAACAACAGUAUUAUCUAUGGGCAACAAGGACGUCCUUAUGAAACCGUUGAGCAUUAAAAUGAACAGUAACGUUAUGAAUGAAUAUUAACGUUACUUAUUUUUAGAGCAGAAACAUAAGUAUAUACAUAAAAGAGUGGACUGCAAAGAAUAGGUAUAAUAAAUGAAUUAAGAGUGCAGUAACAAGAACUAAAAUUACAAUACAGUUGUGUGUGCUGUUUUCAGCUAAUGGGGUGGGGGGGCGACAUGACGGCGGUGUUGCAGUCGUCAUCCUGGCGUGACAAGGAGCAAAUAAAAAUAUCACAUUUAUUUUUGUUAAAAUAUCAAAAACAAAGCAGGAAUUAUUUUUCGCGAAACA